CUGUGUCCCAUCCCAGGAGGACACUGGGAGCUUAUCGAGAUGUGGACAGACUGCAGUCCUGAGAGUGGAGAAACUUAGAAGGGAAGAUGUCCAUUCCCUAAAACAUGGAAGAGUUAGAUAAACACACCAUAGGGUCCUGACUUACCUCAUCUACCAGAGAGCUGGAGUCACAGAACUACAGAUUUCUUGAAACACUGGGGAACUGGAAUGUGCCCCACCUGAGUCCAGUUUACCUGUGAGUGAGGAACCACAGCUGCCUUAGAUGUGUCUAAAGUUGGGUUUCUUCUGAAAGUUGGAUGUGAGAAGUCCAGAAACCUGGACACAGAAGCAUUUACAUGAAGCAAGCAUGGCCUCAUCUCUACAGACCUCCUGAGGACCACAGGGAAGAGCCAGUACAUGGAGAAGCAAGGACUUGCAUCCCCUGGACGGCAGAUUCAGAAGAGUGGGCAGCCCCUGCUGUAGGAAAGGAGGAAGUGCCUCUGGCUUAGAUCCUUCUGCCCCAUUUCUCCCACGGACAGGAGACAUGGCUGACUUAGGGGAAGCAGAGCUCUUGUCUUGCCUUUGGAGAAGGCUCAUCUCAGCUGGAACAAAGAGAGAAGGCAAGAUUUACACUUAUGGGGAAGAAGGAUUCCAUCCUAGACACCAUUGGAGAUGUCUUCUCACUAUGCCCAGAGCCAGUGUGGUUGCCACAGAGAGGAAGGGGCUCAGUGUCAUUAAGUCAUCUGUAACUGUGGCCCAGUGACACGGGUCUUUGUUGGUCUGAAGAUAAGUUAGGACAACACAGAGCAUCACUUGGAAAGCCAAGCAGGUACCAUGGGCAUGCCAUUGCAAUCCA
rnacentral:lncRNA from 1 species